AGAAGAGAUGAUGUUGACUUCUCUCUCAUCCUCAUAUCUCAUCUUCUCUGGAUCCCGAGGAACCAUCUCUCUUUCUCCUCCCCCCACUAGAAAUGGCCUACGCCGCCGCCUGCCUCGUUGUAUCCUUCCAAACCUUCGACUCUGACAUGUCCACCGACAAGGACGCUGUCGUCUUGCCCUUCGUCAUGAAGGCUCCGAAUCUCCGAUCCGGCCCGACGUCGUCGCCCACGUUCACUUCCUGGCCUCCAAGAACAGCCGCCAUCCCUGCGCCGUGUCCACAAAAUCCGGCCACCAGACUUCCGCCGUUUGGGGCACCGGCCAAGACCUGGUGCAGGUGGCACAGGAAGGUAUCCGCAAGCUUAAGAGGAGACGAUAUUGUACAAGGGAAUAAGAAGCUCCUACUUGGAUAGGCAACAAUGGUGCUCGGCUACAAUUGCUAUUAGAGUUGCUCUAUGUUACCACUUAUUCGUUCGGUUCCUAAUUUAAGUUGUAUGCUACAGCACUAUGGUGAUUCAGUCUCCGUUUAUUCGCUGGACUUUAGAAAGGCAUCCUACUGCUGCAGAUGGUAUUCAUGCCUUUUAUUAUGUUCCUACUGAUCAAGCUCAAAAAGUAAUAGUUGCAUUAUCAUACACGGGAGAAAAUGGUAGCAUCGUUUUCAAAGCAUGCAGCAGAUUUAUGCGCGACUAUACUGAUCAACUAGAAUUGGGGUUUUUUUUUGGCAGUGGACUUCAGAGAUCUCUUUGGUUGUUGGCCAAAUGCUGUUCUUUGCUUUAGUUCCAACAUAACUGUUAUCUUUUAGUGAUGGAAACUAUUUUUUUCCCUGGUGAACAGUAUGGGAGCUUUCAUUCUUAGUGCUGGCGCCAAAGGAAAAAGGUUUAGCGUACCAAUGUCGAGGAUAAUGAUCCAUCAGCCUAUGGGUGGACUUGAAGGUGGUGAUAUAAAGAUACGGAGAUCCAGGUUGCUGUCCCGUUUCUUGAUGUUUUUCCUUUCUUCUCUGUUCAUUACACUUUAGCUUUUGCGUAAUUGCAUUUCUGGUCAUUGCUAACACAGGUGAGUCUGUAUACUUAUGUGUGUGGAGACGAUUGAGUGUUUUUUUAACAAUUGCAUUGCUAUGACCACAUAUAUUUGGAUGCGGAUUAAAAAAAGUGUUUGGAAUUGAUAGACUCACUUGAGCAUUUGCACUAGAUAUCUGAACCUCACACACAACAAACACAUCGAAAAAUUGAGUACACGUAUGUGUCGAGCCAUGUUCACAUAAAGUAUUUCUGUCCCCACAUUUUGUCUAACAUAUUUUCCCGUUUGCAAUUCUUUCUGCUGUAAAAUGUGGUAAAUUAAGUAAAAUGGAACAGUGGCAAAAGCUAAAAUUCAGUUGUUGUGUAAAUUUUAGACAUGAAAUAGACACCACUAAAAGUUGCUCCAACACGUAAAGAAACAAAAGGUUGAAUUUAAUGAGUUCGCUUUACUUUUAAGCAUCAGGAACUAUGUGCUGCAGAGAAGCAGUAAUUAAUUCCAAAUUACAUGAAUGAAAUCAACUUGAAAUGUGAGGUGGUGAAAUUUACUAAUUCGAUUGUGAUCCUUGUUAGAUUUAUAAACUAAUUCGAUUGUGAUCCUUGUUAGAUUUCAUCCUUGUCGCAGUGCUCGGGAAUCAUGACAUCAGAGUUGUUGUCAUUGAUGGCAUCGAAAACUGGGAAAAAAAUUAUGAAUGGGUAUGAACACGUACUUAACUUGUUCUAUGUUUCGGUGAAACUGAUUAUGACAAAAAAAAAUGCAUGCGAUGGGUAAUUUUUGGAGCAUAUGUGCUUAUUUUGGGUUAAACUUUUCUUUAGAUGUAGUGUAAAGUACUCAACUAUUCUUCUGCCUAGGUCCACAGCAAAAACUAAGAAACUGCUUUUUCUUCCGUUGGUGUGUACUGAUAAUUACCAAUUUGUCAUAAUAUGCAAUCGAACUUGGUUCGAAGGAUUUUAUUCGUACGGACGCAAUUAUGUGAUAAUAUAGGUAUAGCCAGGGUCUUAUUUA